rnacentral:piRNA from 1 species
UGCCCGGACUCAGAGGAGCACAG